UUAAAAUAAAUAGUUAUACCGUAGACAGCAGGGGCUCAUUAAAGCUUAAUAGCCUGCCGAGGUGUUAAUGAAGGCAAAAUGUAUUAUUUAUUAAUUUGCCCGGUCGUUUACACAUUCUCCCUUGCGUCUAUUUUAGACGUAAGGGUUUUUAAUUAGCGGA
rfam:Amphibacillus xylanus NBRC 15112 DNA, complete genome.